rnacentral:lncRNA from 1 species
AUUGUCCGACAGUGGAGUUCGGAUGGCAUUGUGGAGGUUCGUCCACUGGAAGAGUCUUGAGGAUAUUGUGGAGGGUCGAACGUUGGAGGAGUCUGAAAUUCAAUUCUGUUGUAGAAGUUCGAACGGAGUCUGGCUCUUGUUGGAGGCUGGAUGAAGUCCGAUUAUUGUAGAAGCUCGGACGAAGAUCAGUUGUCAUGAAAGCUUGGAUGGAGACUUCUUAUUGUAGAAGCUCGGAUGAAGUCCGCUUGCAAUAGAAGUCCGAAGUACAGAUC